rnacentral:rRNA from 1 species
UACGUAGGGGGCAAGCGUUGUCCGGAAUUAUUGGGCGUAAAGAGCGCGCAGGCGGCUAUUUAAGUCUACCGUGAAAGCUUACGGCUCAACCGUAACGGGCCGGUGGAUACUGGAUGGCUUGAGGGCAGGAGAGGAAAGUGGAAUUCCCAGUGUAGCGGUGAAAUGCGUAGAGAUUGGGAGGAACACCAGUGGCGAAGGCGACUUUCUGGACUGUUACUGACGCUGAGGCGCGAAAGCUGGGGGAGUGAACGGGAUUAGAUACCCCGGUAAUCCCAGCCGUAAACGAUGGGUACUAGGUGUAGGAGGUAUCGACCCCUUCUGUGCCGGAGUUAACGCAAUAAGUACCCCGCCUGGGGAGUACGGUCGCAAGACUGAA